AUGCAUCCAUGGAGAAUUACGGGAAUGUGGAAUGCUCUUCCAUUAAUAACGCCUUCUUUUACAUUCCUCCAGUGCUCUAGGAAUGAAAGCUACAGACAAUUCUUUCUUGUAAUGCUCCUUUUCAUUUCAGCCACAGAGGAAACAGACAACACCAGAAAUGAAGGCCCCAUGAAAGAUAACGCCCACGCACAGUCACCAAGUAGAAGAAAAUGUGGAGUGAUUUGGUGAAGAAGGUGACAAAGACACCUGUGAGACUGGGGCAAGUGCUAAUGAUUCAGUCAGUUUCUAUCAUUCUCAGAAGGGCAAGGGCAAAAUCAUGUUAGCUUUUAAGGCAAACAUCACAGGAUAAUUGUGACUCCAUAAAUAAUUGUCACCCUAAGGUUCCUGGAUGGUGAAAUCAUACCGAAUUCAAAAUUACAACUUAGAUCCUAACCAUGACUGACUAACUGCAGAGCCCAGGCCACUUCUUCUCUUCUCUUCUUUCUCUGGUCCUCCGUAUGUCUCGUGGCAUACGGAUGAGGUGUGUGUGUGUGUGUGGGGUUCUCACAUGAACUCAUGUCAGACUAGGUUUUGACUCACAAUAUCUUCACAGAAUCUGCCCUGAAUUUCUACUCUCACUUCUCCCCUUGGGUCACCAUUCCUAUCACAGCUGCUUCUCUUCUUCUAAGCUCUAGGCCUCAGUACCCUCAGGGCUUUUGACCCUGACACUGACACAGCUUCUCUGCCUGAGGGCCACAUGAUUACUGUUUUCAAGAUUCUGCCUCCUUUUCAUCAUCAGUUAAUGGAUUGCUGGAUGAAUC
rnacentral:lncRNA from 1 species